rnacentral:tRNA from 1 species
GUGGUGGUGAUUCGGUGGUAGAAUUCUCGCCUUCCAUGCAGGAAUCCUGGGUUCAGUUCCUGGCCAGUGCA